AGAGUUUGAUCCUGGCUCAGGACGAACGCUGGCGGCGUGCCUAACACAUGCAAGUCGAACGGAGUUAAGUUUUCGGAUUUAACUUAGUGGCGAACGGGUGAGUAACGCGUGAGUAACCUGCCCUGGAGCGGGGGACAACAGUUGGAAACGACUGCUAAUACCGCAUAAGCCCACGGUACCGCAUGGCACUGAGGGAAAAGGAUUUAUUCGCUUCAGGAUGGACUCGCGUCCAAUUAGCUAGUUGGUGAGGUAACGGCCCACCAAGGCGACGAUUGGUAGCCGGACUGAGAGGUUGAUCGGCCACAUUGGGACUGAGACACGGCCCAGACUCCUACGGGAGGCAGCAGUGGGGGAUAUUGCACAAUGGGGGAAACCCUGAUGCAGCGACGCCGCGUGGAGGAAGAAGGUUUUCGGAUUGUAAACUCCUGUCGUUAGGGACGAUAAUGACGGUACCUAACAAGAAAGCACCGGCUAACUACGUGCCAGCAGCCGCGGUAAAACGUAGGGUGCAAGCGUUGUCCGGAAUUACUGGGUGUAAAGGGAGCGCAGGCGGACCGGCAAGUUGGAAGUGAAAACUAUGGGCUCAACCCAUAAAUUGCUUUCAAAACUGCUGGCCUUGAGUAGUGCAGAGGUAGGUGGAAUUCCCGGUGUAGCGGUGGAAUGCGUAGAUAUCGGGAGGAACACCAGUGGCGAAGGCGACCUACUGGGCACCAACUGACGCUGAGGCUCGAAAGCAUGGGUAGCAAACAGGAUUAGAUACCCUGGUAGUCCAUGCCGUAAACGAUGAUUACUAGGUGUUGGAGGAUUGACCCCUUCAGUGCCGCAGUUAACACAAUAAGUAAUCCACCUGGGGAGUACGACCGCAAGGUUGAAACUCAAAGGAAUUGACGGGGGCCCGCACAAGCAGUGGAGUAUGUGGUUUAAUUCGAAGCAACGCGAAGAACCUUACCAGGUCUUGACAUCCCUCUGACCGACUCUUAACCGAGUCUUUCCUUCGGGACAGAGGAGACAGGUGGUGCAUGGUUGUCGUCAGCUCGUGUCGUGAGAUGUUGGGUUAAGUCCCGCAACGAGCGCAACCCCUAUCCCCAGUAGCCAGCGGUUCGGCCGGGCACUCUGAGGAGACUGCCAGGGAUAACCUGGAGGAAGGCGGGGAUGACGUCAAAUCAUCAUGCCCCUUAUGAUUUGGGCUACACACGUGCUACAAUGGCGUAAACAAAGGGAAGCGAGCCUGCGAAGGUAAGCAAAUCCCAAAAAUAACGUCCCAGUUCGGACUGCAGUCUGCAACUCGACUGCACGAAGCUGGAAUCGCUAGUAAUCGCGGAUCAGAAUGCCGCGGUGAAUACGUUCCCGGGUCUUGCACACACCGCCCGUCA
rnacentral:rRNA from 1 species